rnacentral:rRNA from 1 species
GACGAACGCUGGCGGCGUACUUAACACAUGCAAGUCGAACGGAAAGGCCCUGCUUUUGUGGGGUGCUCGAGUGGCGAACGGCUGAGUAACACGUGAGUAACCUGCCCUUGACUUUGGGAUAACUUCAGGAAACUGGGGCUAAUACCGGAUAGGAGCUCCUGCUGCAUGGUGGGGGUUGGAAAGUUUCGGCGGUUGGGGAUGGACUCGCGGCUUAUCAGCUUGUUGGUGGGGUAGUGGCUUACCAAGGCUUUGACGGGUAGCCGGCCUGAGAGGGUGACCGGCCACAUUGGGACUGAGAUACGGCCCAGACUCCUACGGGAGGCAGCAGUGGGGAAUAUUGCACAAUGGGCGGAAGCCUGAUGCAGCAACGCCGCGUGCGGGAUGACGGCCUUCGGGUUGUAAACCGCUUUCGCCUGUGACGAAGCGUGAGUGACGGUAAUGGGUAAAGAAGCACCGGCUAACUACGUG